AUACGGAGGAUGCGAGCGUUAUCCGGAUUUAUUGGGUUUAAAGGGUGCGUAGGCUGUGCGUUAAGUCAGGGGUGAAAUGCCGUCGCUCAACGACGGAGCUGCCCUUGAUACUGGCGUGCUGGAGUACGGAUGCCGUUGGAGGAAUGAGUGGUGUAGCGGUGAAAUGCUUAGAUAUCACUCAGAACACCGAUUGCGAAGGCAUCUGACGAAUCCGUCACUGACGCUGAGGCACGAAAGCGUGGGGAUAGAACAGGAUUAGAUACCCUGGUUUUCCACGCCGUAAACGAUGAUGACUAACCGUCGGCGAUAGACAGCCGGUGGCCAAGCGAAAGCGAUAAGUCAUCCACCUGGGGAGUACGUCGGCAACGAUGAAACUCAAAGGAAUUGACGGGG
rnacentral:rRNA from 1 species